GAGUUUGAUUAUGGCUCAGGAUGAACGCUAGCGAUAGGCUUAACACAUGCAAGUCGAGGGGCAUCACGGGAUUAGCUUGCUAAUCUUGGUGGCGACCGGCGUAAGGGUGCGUAACGCGUAUGCAACUUGCCUGCCAGUGGGGAAUAACCCGGAGAAAUCCGGACUAAUACCGCAUACACUUUAGUUUCUGCAUGGGGACUUUAGGAAAGAUUUAUUGCUGACAGAUAGGCAUGCGUUCCAUUAGAUAGUUGGUGAGGUAACGGCUCACCAAGUCAACGAUGGAUAGGGGAGCUGAGAGGCUUAUCCCCCACACUGGAACUGAGACACGGUCCAGACUCCUACGGGAGGCAGCAGUGAGGAAUAUUGGUCAAUGGGCGAGAGCCUGAACCAGCCAAGUCGCGUGAAGGAAGACGGUCCUAUGGAUUGUAAACUUCUUUAGUAGGUGAGUACAAGCAGUUACGUGUAGCUGUAAGC
rnacentral:rRNA from 1 species